rnacentral:rRNA from 1 species
GAAAGCCUGAUGCAGCAACGCCGCGUGAGCGAUGAAGGCCUUCGGGUCGUAAAGCUCUGUCCUCAAGGAAGAUAAUGACGGUACUUGAGGAGGAAGCCCCGGCUAACUACGUGCCAGCAGCCGCGGUAAUACGUAGGGGGCUAGCGUUAUCCGGAAUUACUGGGCGUAAAGGGUGCGUAGGUGGUUUCUUAAGUCAGAGGUGAAAGGCUACGGCUCAACCGUAGUAAGCCUUUGAAACUGGGAAACUUGAGUGCAGGAGAGGAGAGUGGAAUUCCUAGUGUAGCGGUGAAAUGCGUAGAUAUUAGGAGGAACACCAGUUGCGAAGGCGGCUCUCUGGACUGUAACUGACACUGAGGCACCAAAGCGUGGGGAGCAAACAAGAUUAGAUACCCUGGUAGUCCACGCCGUAAACGAUGAGUACUAGCUGUCGGAGGUUACCCCCUUCGGUGGCGCAGCUAA